rnacentral:rRNA from 1 species
CCUACGGGUGGCAGCAGUAGGGAAUAUUGGGCAAUGGGCGAAACCCUGAAGCAGCAACGCCGCGUGGAGGAUGAAGGCUUUCGGAUUGUAAACUCCUUUUGUUAGAGAAGAUACUGACGGUAUCUAACGAAUAAUCACCGGCUAACUCCGUCCCAGCAGCCGCGGUAAUACGGAGGGUGCAAGCGUUACUCGGAAUGACUGGGCGGAAAGAGCGCGUAGGCGGGAUAGCAAGUCAGAUGUGAAAUCCUCUGGCUUAACCAUAGAACUGCAUUUGAAACUGUUAUUCUAGAGUAUGGGAGAGGCAGGUGGAAUUCUUGGUGUAGGGGUAAAAUCCGUAGAGAUCAAGAGGAAUACUCAUUGCGAAGGCGACCUGCUAGAACAUAACUGACGCUGAUGCGCGAAAGCGUGGGGAGCAAACAGGAUUAGAUACCCCAGUAGUC